rnacentral:rRNA from 1 species
UACGGAAGGCAGCAGUGGGGAAUAUUGCACAAUGGGCGAAAGCCUGAUGCAGCUAUGCCGCGUGUAUGAAGAAGGCCUUAGGGUUGUAAAGUACUUUCAUCGGGGAGGAAAAAGCAAAACUAAUAAUUUUAUUUCUUGACGUUACCCGAAAAAGAAGCACCGGCUAACUCCGUGCCAGCAGCCGCGGUAAUACGGAGGGUGCUAGCGUUAAUCAGAAUUACUGGGCGUAAAGAGCACGUAGGUGGUUUUUUUAAGUCAGAUGUGAAAUCCCUGGGCUUAACCUGGAACUGCAUUUUGAAACUGAAAUACUAGAGUAUCGUAGAGGGAGGUAGAAUUCUAGGUGUAGCGGUGAAAUGCGUAGAUAUCUGGAGGAAUACCUGUGGCGAAAGCGGGCCUCCUAAACGAAUACUGACACUGAGGUGCGAAAGCGUGGGGAGCAAACAGGGAUUAGAUACC